CAGUUGAAGUAGGCGGAAUGUGACAAGUAGCGGUGAAAUGCAUAGAGAUGUCACAGAACACCGAUUGCGAAGGCAGCUUACUAAAGUGCAAUUGACGCUCAGGCACGAAAGCGUGGGGAUCAAACAGGAUUAGAUACCCUGGUAGUCCACGCCCUAAACGAUGAACACUCGAUGUUGCGAUACACGGUCAGCGUCUAAGCGAAAGCGUUAAGUGUUCCACCUGGGGAGUACGCCCGCAAGGGUGAAACUCAAAGGAAUUGACGGGGGCCCGCACAAGCGGAGGAGCAUGUGGUUUAAUUCGAUGAUACGCGAGGAACCUUACCCGGGCUUGAAAGUUAGCGAAUGGCGCAGAGACGUGCCAGACCCUUCGGGGACGCGAAACUAGGUGCUGCAUGGCUGUCGUCAGCUCGUGCCGUGAGGUGUUGGGUUAAGUCCCGCAACGAGCGCAACCCCUGUGAAUAGUUGCCAGCACGUAAAGGUGGGGACUCUAUUCAGACUGCCUGUGCAAACAGAGAGGAAGGAGGGGACGACGUCAAGUCAUCAUGGCCCUUACGUCCGGGGCUACACACGUGCUACAAUGGGCAGUACAGCGGGCAGCUACCUGGCAACAGGAUGCCAAUCUCGUAAAGCUGUUCACAGUUCGGAUCGGGGUCUGCAACUCGACCCCGAGAAGUUGGAUUCGCUAGUAAUCGCGUAUCAGCAAUGACGCGGUGAAUACGUUCCCGGGCCUUGUACACACCGCCCGUCAAGCCAUGGAAGCUGGGGGUACCUGAAGUAUGU
rnacentral:rRNA from 1 species